rnacentral:lncRNA from 1 species
GUUCCUGGCAUAUGUCAGGAGGGGGAGUGACAGGACUUCUGGAGUUGGGGUUGUUAUGGGCUCCUGGCAUAUGUCAGGAUGUGAUGACUUGCCUGCAGGGUUUCUAUGGGUAGGGGAGCAGGGAAGGGAAUAGAAGUUGGUUCUUCAUCAGGAGUUAAAAUCUCAGAGUUGGAAACAGACACCUUAACAGAGUUUUGAAAAUCAGAAGCAAAGAGAAUCGGAGCUGGGGAGAGUUUCCAAAACUGGGGUCUAAGAGUAAGGCGAAGGGGAUUUGAUCCGUGAUCUCAAUGGUGUGGCAAAAGUCUGAUGAGAGAACUUCUGUUAACAUGGAUCUGAGACUUGUCUGCAACAUCAGGCUUGAGAGUUACCUCAGACAUUGAGCGAUUGUGUCACACAGCCAAUGGAGAUGCCAUCGUGGGAUUUGAAUAGAGGCCAUCCUGAUGGCCCUCCAUCCAUCCUGCCCUGCUGCUUCUCCCGGCACACGUAAAUAGGAGCAAUGACAACAAAGAUGAAGGUUGUCCAAGAAGAGAAGAAAAGAAAGAAGAGGAACAGGAGGAAGGAAAAAAGGAAGAGGAGAGGGAAAAGAAGAAGAAAGAGGAGGAGAAAAAGAAGAGCAUAUAAUCCUUUGAGUAAUUCUGUUAAAAUAAGGUCUGAAAUAGGAGCUGAAAACUCCCUUUCCCAAUCAGUAAUUUAACAUCAACUAGUCACCACUUCCCCAGGUUAUUUCUCCAACAUAAAUCAAUUUAUGAAUCAAAUUCUGAACUUUUACCUGAACACCAUAUCCACUUCCUCCUCCACCCUCCUCACUUUCCCAAAUCUUGGGCAUGUUUGACCUAGAUGGAAACCCACUGGGCUUUACUCCUUUAGGAUAUUCUUUUCUCCCUGGCAUCAUUCCUGUUUCUCUACUCCCUGACUGCAACUUCCAAUUUUAUUUCCCCUCAAAGCUUCCUCCUGGACUCAUGAUGGGAACUGCCUCCCAGUUUCCUCUUUAGAAAUAUCACAUAGUGACCCAGGACUAGGAUUAAUAGUCUUGGCAGUUGACCAUACUUUCCAAGUGAUGUCUCAGGGAAUGUAGAAUGCAAGGAUUGGAGUAGGAAUCCAAUGCCAGAACUAUGUCCCUUUGGGUUCUUUCCCUUGGUAACAUAAGUGGUAUGUAAAGUGACAUUCCUGCCUUUCCUUGAUUUGUAGGUUGGAUCUCUGACCAGAGAUAUGCUGGAUCCAACUUGAACUGACUUGAAAGAGUAAAUUGUUGCAGACUG